rnacentral:rRNA from 1 species
UACGAAGGGGGCUAGCGUUGCUCGGAAUGACUGGGCGUAAAGGGCGCGUAGGCGGUUCACGCAGUCAGAUGUGAAAUUCCUGGGCUCAACCUGGGGGCUGCAUUUGUUACGCGUGGACUGGAGUGGGGAAGAGGGUCGUGGAAUUCCCAGUGUAGAGGUGAAAUUCGUAGAUAUUGGGAAGAACACCGGUGGCGAAGGCGGCGACCUGGUCCUUGACUGACGCUGAGGCGCGAAAGCGUGGGGAGCAAACAGG